CUGACCAUGUGGUAACAUCACCCAUUUCCCAAGGUUCAGAAACCAAUGCGCCUCUGAAGGGAAGCAGAACGUUUCUUUACACGUACGUGUUGUGCUUUGCUCCUGUUUAAGAGUGAGAAGGGCUUGCAAACAGCUAAAGGACUGUGAGAAUAAAGAUGAGGUGUUGAAAUACAAGAUAAAGCCUCUGAAAUAUGUGCUCCAGUCAUGAAGCAGAGAAUAUUACAGUGAAGACAGGGAAUUAAAUGAUCCUCAACCUGCAUUGCCUGACCCCAGGAAAGCACUGUCUACUAUGUAUUCUUCCACAGCUUCUUAAUACAUAUGUAAGCAAAUAUGAAUAUGUAUUAUUUCUCUGUUUUUAGACAAAAGUUAGCAUUCUGUAUACAUUGUUCUGCACACUCCUUUUUUUCCGAUUAAUAAUUUACUCGGAGAUUUUUCUAUAUCAGUAUAUGGUUUCGCUCUCUGUCUGUUAGUGUCACUGCCUAGUGUCCCAUUGUUUGAGUGAUUAUAAUUUAUCUAAUCCCCAGUAAAUUCUUGAUGGACAUUUGGAUUGCUUCCAAUGUUUUACUGUUACAAAUACUGAUACACUGAAUAACCUUGAAUAUAUUUCAUUGAACACAUCUGCAGGUAUAUCUAUAGGAUUAAUUCCCAAACUGAAAAUGUGUCAAAAGUUACACAUAUUUAUAAUUUUUAAUAGAUAUAACCAAAUUGCUAUCUGUAGCAGUUGUACUAUUUCAGGGCUUCCCAAGCUUUUUCCCAUCGUAACAGUCAAAGUGUAUAAACUGGAAAAGAUUUGAAGCCUUAUAAAAGAUUGCCUGUGGCCAAAGGGCAUAAGCCUACUAGUUCUAACUGACCAGGAUCUAUCCGGCCGCCAUAGGCCCGAGAUCAGUAUCUCCCAGAACCUGGGCUGGAAAGUUCUGUGGCUACAUGUUUGUCAGCAGUGCAUGAUGCCUUCUUCCACUUAGCUUCACCAUAUGAAGAGUUAUAAACUUUGGAAUUUGAGUUAACCCAAUAGGUUAAAAUAAUGGUAUAUCUGUUUUCCAUAUGUUUCAGUGUUUUUAUAAGCUUUUUGACUGUGAACUGUGCAAUCUAUUUUUUUCUAUUCAACUGUUUGUCUUUUAUUAUUGAUUUUAAGAAGCUAUCUGUAUAUUAAGAAAUCUCUGUGCCUAUGAUAUGAAUUACAACUACUUUCCCCCAAUUUAUAUUUGUCUCGACUUUAUUCAUGGUAUUUUGUUUUGUUACUUUUGCUUGCAGAAGUUUCUUUUCUGUUUUCUUAUGUUGUCUUUUCUUAUGUUUGUUUGGAUUUUGAGUUGUUGGUUAAAAAAGACUUUCCCCACUUCAGCUUUACAAAUGAAUUUUUCCACUUUUUCCUACUGUUUUUAAGACUUGACUUCUUCAAAAAAAAAUUCGAUUUGGAAUUGUUCCUGAUUUUUGGUGUGAAAUACAGAUUCAACAUUUCGUUUUACCCCAGAUGGGUUAUACUACAACACUAUUGAAAAAUCCAUCUUUGCCUUCACAUUUGCUUUAAUUUUUCUUCACGUGGGUUUGUACACUUUUAAAAAGUAUUUUUAUUUAUUUUAUUUUAUUUUUUUGGCUGCAUCGUGUCUUAGUUGCUGCAUGUGGGAUCUUCACCGAGGCAUGAAGGAUCUUCCAUUGGGGUAAGUGUGCUUCUCUCUAGUUGUGGAGCACAGGCUCCAGGGUGCAUGGGCUCUGUAGUUGUGGCAUGCGGGCUCCACAGCGCAUGGGCUGUGUAGUUUUGCGGCACGUGGGCUCUCUCGUUGAGGCACAAGAGCUCAGUAGUUGUGGUACACGGGCUUAGUUGCCCGACCAGGGAUCAAACCCGUGUCCCCUGCAUUGGAAGGCGGAUUAUUUACCACUGGACCACCAGGGAAGUCCCAGGUUUGUACACUUUUUUAAAGUUUAUUUCUAGAGAUAUUGUUUUGCUUGUUUUUGCUGUUUUAAACAUUUUUCCCAUUAUGUGUUCUAACUGCUUGCUUUUUAUACAUAAUAAAUUUAUUGCUUUCUAUUUAUUAAUGUUUAUAUCCUAUUACUUCCCUGAAUUCUUUUACUCUUUGUAGUGUUUUAGUUGAUUCUCUUGGAUUUUCAAACGUACCAUCAUGUCAUUUCCACAUAGUUACAGUUUAUAAUGUUUAUUCUUCUUGUUUUCCUCUGUCUUGUCUAACUGUAUUAACUAGUAAUGCCAGUACUUUGUGGGAAAAUAGAGGUGAUGGUCUGCAUUCUUGUCUUGAUCUUGAUUUUAAUAGGAAUACCUCUAGUCUAUCUCCACUGAGCCUGAUGCUGACUUCUGGAUUGAGAUAAAUAUAUGUUCACUGUGUGAAAAAGGUGUCCAUCUAUCCUUAUUUAACUGACUGUUUGAAGAAUGGCUCUUGUAUUUUGCCAAAUGACUUAUCAUAUAUGAAAAUGAUCAUAAUUUUUCUCUAACAUUAUAAACUCUAUACAUUUCCUAAUAAUGAACCAUCCUUGUACUUCUGGAAUAAAUUCCUCUGUCAUAAUUAUUCUUUUUAUAUGCUUUUGGAUUGCAUUUGCUAACAUUUUCUUUGGAAUGGUUUUAUAACUGAGAUUUUUUUUAUAACUGAGAUUAAUCUAUAAUUUUAUUUGUGUAUAAAACAUUUUUGUCAAGUUUUAUUAUCAAUUUUAUACCAUUUUUUCCCAAAAAUAAUGUUAAGGAAUUCUUUUGUCUACUAUUAUCUAGAAAAGUUGAAAUAGCCUUGGUUUUAUUUGCUUUUAAAUUCCCCUGUGAACGUGUCUAAACCUGUAGUUUUGCUGGGAAUAACCUUUUGAUCAUUUUAUCUUUUGCUUCUAUUGAAAUAGUUCUGUUUAGAUUCUUAUUUCUUGAUGUCAUUUAGUGUAAAUCAUUAUUUUCCUUAAAAAAUCUAUUUCAUCCAAGUUUUUCAAUUUAGUCUCUUAAGAUUCUUUAAUUUCCUUAGUUCCUGUGUGGCUAAUUCUCCCUUUACUGUUUAGUUUUGUUUCUUUGUGUGUUUUUAUUUGCAGUUUUCUCUUUCCUGAUUAAGUUAGCUAAUGAUUUUCUGUUUUUCUAAACAACCAGAUUUUGUCUUUGUAGAUUAGAUCUACCAUUUUUCUAAUUCACUAGCAUUAGAAAACAUAGGCCAUAGGGUCUCUGUCAUAAUUAAUCAACUCUGUCAUUUUAACACAAAAGCAGCCCUAGGCAAUAUGUAGAUGAAUAAGUAUGUCUGUGGUCCAAUAAAACUUUUUUAUGGAUACUGAAUUUUGAAUUUCAUACAAUUUUCACAUGUGAACUAUUAUUGUUCCUUUUUUUCCAACCAUCACAUAAGCUGUAAGUACCAUUCUUAUUUUGUAUGCUGUACAAAAAUAGGCAUUGGCCCAUAAGCUGUGAUUUGCUGGUCUCUACCUAAUAUAUCUUUAGAUACAUAUUUCUUUACAUAGUAUCUGUUAGUUCCCUAAUAUGAAUAAUAAUGACAAUUUUCCUGUGUUUUCUUCCUAUACCCGUCCUUUCUCCAUCUUAUUUUCUUUAUCAAGAUUUUCUUCCUCAUUUUACUUUGUAUAUUAAAUAAGCCUAUAUUUCCGUUAUGUGAGUUAUGAGCAUUGAUAAUCUUUGACCCUGCGCUAUCACAGAGGAGUUAACCCAAAAAUGUACCCACCUUCUUUCACCUCUCCAGUUUUUUUGAUAUGUAAUAUCUACAUUGUCAGAUGAUGCAAUAAUAAUAAUAAUUAUUAUUUUUUGCCACAUUCUACCAACAUUUGUUCUAUCCUCAAUUUGGGGAGGGGGCAGUAAAUGAACUCAAUGCUGACCACCAGUUUUAUGGUCGUAUAUUUCCCACUCACCUCUGAGUUGGCUAAAGAUUAUCCUCUAGUAUUUUCCUUAAAAGGAGCUUAGAUUUUAUAUGUUUAAAACUUAAAUCUUGAAGAUAAUUUUACCUGGUUAUAAGAUAUGGGUCUCUUCCUUUCUUUUACUGAAUACCUUUUAUACGUUGCUGUACUGACUUCUGACCUUGUUUGUGGCUGUAGUGAAACAUGCAGACAGCCUGGUUGUUUUAUUUUAUCCUUAUAUAUAGUGUAAUCUUUUUUCUUGAUCACUAAAAAUGAUCCUUUGGUUUAAAUCUUGAAGUUUCAAUAACAUUAUUAGCAUUAUUAACAUUAUUAGCAUAGUUGUGGUGUUGCUCGAUCUGUUUCUUUGAUCUGUUAGUAUUCCCUAGUAUGUUGUCCUCCCAAUGUAAAAAUUCAAGACAUAUUAAUUUUGGAGAUGUUUUCUUGAAUUAUUUCUUUAAAUUAUUUUCCAUUUUGUUGCUUUUUUUUUUUCAGAGAUUCCAAUUAUAUGUACCUUGGAUUUUUUAUUUUUGCUUGUUUUCUGUAUCUCAUUUUAUCUCUACCCUUUUUCAGUCAUUUUGUUAUUUCUAAUUCAUUUUGUUUACUCUUCUCAUUUCUAUCAUCUAUUUCCUUUACUAUAUUUGCCAUAGUGUAUAUCCUGGAUAGAACUCCUUGCAUUUUCCUCUUUAAUCUAUGUGCUGAUUUUGGUUUUUCUUCACUUUUUCCUGAGUUCUACCAGUUCAACUUUCAUCUCCUCCUGUUGUAAUUCCCUCUCUUCUCUGAAUUCUAGCUAGUGCUCUAAAUUUAUAAAGGGUACUGCUUAAUUUUUUUACUUAUUGGUAAAUUUUGAGGUCAAAUAUUUAGUCCCUGUGUCACCAUUUUUCUUGUGAGUAUUCAUUUUGGAGUGAGUUUUGAUGCUGUUUUUCACAUUAGUUUUCAUGUAAGAAUUUUGUAUGGUUGCUGUGCUGGUUCUUUUCAUAUUAUUUGUCAUUGAAUGAGUUGGAUUUUCUUGGAUUAGUAUCUCUACAGAGUUGGUGGGAAAGAGAGGAAGCUGCUGCCGGAGUAACCAUUGAAUUUUUACUACAAAAAGGAUCUUAAUUUGCUGCCACAAAGAUAGAGAGUUCUCUAUACAAGUUUGGCUCAACUGUGUGUGAAUGUGUUGUACCCCUAAUCCCUCUGAUUCUCUGAGUCAAACUGUGAAGGGUGGGGUUCUGUCAAAAGCUUGUUGACUGCAGUUCCAGCAGAAUUUUUUUUCCAAAAAAGAUUAUAAAUUUUAAAUUCAAGGUGAACCCCUUGCCUUCAAGAACUAUAAUUUUGCUAUUAUCCUCCGAGCUCUACUUCUGUUGGGCCCCUUCUCACUUUUGAUGUUUCAUAUUUUCACUGCCUCCCAAGAGAAUCCUAACAAUUUUUUACAAUUCCAAAAUCCCUUGCUUUUUUUGGAUUAUACCUGUCUUCCAGGUUUGAUAAAAAAUUAGAGCUCUAGAGGAUUUUUGCUAUCGUUCUUCUGUUGCUAUUGUAUGAUGUCCAGGAGCAAAGAGGUACUAUGAUGACUUUCUCAGCCAUGUUUAUACAGGGAUUCUAUAACGUUGUGCUUUGAAAGAGUUAAGCAAGAAAGGGAACCUAUGUCUAGCUUCCAACAGAUGGAGUAUAAACUCUAAAAAGCGAAUACAAAACUGUGAUGAGACCAUGAAAAUUUGAAAUCUCCAAGAAUAAUCCUAGAGUAAAAAUAAAGAAUCAGCAUAAAUUAUAGAAGCUGUAAGAACCACAGGAAUUCAGAUAAAGAUAAAAUUGUGUCGACAGGAGCAAUGAUUGAAGGGGUUAUAUGGGAACAGAUUAGAAGGAUUCAUUGGAGGCUUGAGCAAAGUUCACUUGUGUUCUUCCCUAUAACUCUGGUCUAAGAACUUUGGAAAAUUCGUUCUCACUUACCAUUCUAUGUUACUGGUUGCUUUCCAUCUAUCUCAUGAUAUCUCAAACGGUGAAGAAAAUGGAAAGAGAUAGAACUAGUUUAGGGGGAGGAAGAAGGUUUCAGAAUAAAAAAAUACAUUUUUUCUCUCUAAGUCCCCAGAGUCUAUGCCAGUUCCCCAGAACCAAGCCAGGCUCUCAGAGGCAUUCUGGACCAUGGGUUCUUGGCACAGACAAAAUUUCCAAAAGACAGCAGUGCCUUUGAGCCAUAUCCUGGAGCCUGAAACCAAGCCCAAACAGCUUGGACAGUGAGAGAAGUGAAGCCGCUUCAGAACAUUUUGUGUCACAUAUUUGUUUCUGGCAUCUUUGCUUUAUAAUCUUUUUAAAAAUUAUAUUUUCCUCCUGGAUAUUUUAGUCUGUUUUUAUUAGUCAUUUCAAGGAGGAUCACAUAAAGGCUUAGGGAAGGCUGGACCCUCAUUCCUCUCCAUGGCCUCUGGUGCAGCACUCUGCCUUUGCUCUCUCCACCACUGUUUACUUAUAAGCUUGAUUUUGGCAGCCAGUAAGUUUAUUUUACAUUUUACUGAAGUGUGAGGGGAAAUACUGAUAGAAAAACUAAACAAAAUCCCUCAUGAAAUGGUAUCAGCAAAUGAGCAAAGUACCUGAAAAAGUCAAACAUCCGGGUGCCCAGAACUCAAAGGCUGAUUUUUCUUCCCUAUAAGGCACCCUCAGAACCUCUUUCUGCACUGGCUGGUGAUAAGAUCAUCUGAAAAUUAAUCACUAGUGGAGAGAGAGCUGUAUUCAUUGUCAACCUACCCUGCAAGUAUGAGUCCCUGCCUCCCCAAGUUUCUUGUCUGUAUCACCAUAAGCUUUUCAGAACAGGGUGCACAAACUUCUUUGUUGUUGCCUUAAAGGAAUGGGAAUGCUAGAUCUUCUAUCUAAUUAAAGUAUAAUUUUUCCUA